ACGCUCGACACCUACGGGAGGCAGCAGUUAGGAAUAUUGGGCAAUGGAGGGGAACUCUGACCCAGCAACGCCGCGUGAAGGAAGAAGGUUUUCGGACUGUAAACUUCUGAUCUAAGGGAAAAAGAAAGUGAUGGUACCUUAGGAGAAAGCCACGGCUAACUACGUGCCAACAGCCGCGGUAAUCUGAGCGGGCUGGCAAGGC
rnacentral:rRNA from 1 species